GCCUGGCUAGCUCAGUGGGUAGAGCAUGUGACUCUUGAUCUCAGGACUAUGAGUUCAAGCCCCGUAUUGGGUA
rnacentral:tRNA from 1 species